UCAAACACGCGCUAAGUUGCUUUAGAGCACAUGGAGAUCGCUUUGAACUCAAAUGUGCACAAUGAGCUAUAUCGUUUAAAUCGCUGAAUUUAUUACAUUGGUUGGUUGUAUUGAUCUGAUGUGGGCAUAUUUUCAGAUCACCGGAGUGUGAAGGCGAUCCAAAGGAAGACGACUGGGAUAGGCCAGAUGAGGUACCUCCGCAACGUACCUCGCAGAUUCAAGAGUAGUUUCAGAGAAGAAUGAGGCCCUUGGCUAUCCGGUUAUCCUGUUUGUUUUCUCUUGAGGUUUUUGUUUCUAUUGAUUCAAAGGUAAGCAAUGGAAGAUAGCAAGAACCCUAACAUGGUGGUCGGAUGCAACUUGAUGUGAGCAUUACUGCAGUAUCUGCUAUUACGGUGUGGGUUUAAGGCAGUUGAUGGUUCAAUGCAUUACUCCAUCUUACUUGUAGUUGACUCAUGGGAUUGAUGUCCCUUAAAAUUGUAGUUAUUGGUUAAUUCUGUGCUAAUGUAUUGUGUAAUUUUGUAUGACAUUAAUUUCAUUAGACAUCGAUUAUUAUUAAAAAUAUUUUUCCCUCGAGAACAUUUGUUAGUGGUAUAAUUCUUUAAAAACAUCCAUGACAAACUCAAGUCAAGUCGAGUGGUUGUUCAUGUUUUGUUGAAGAUGCAUUUCCCUGUGCAGGGAAUCUCAGGUAUUUUGUAUAUCAUGUGCAUUUUGAUGUCUGACAUCCUUUCUUCAUGUCUUUUUGGCUCUAUUCCUAUUUUGGUUGUUCAACGUCGCCCAUUCAGCAUUUUCGCUUCUGGUUGUGAAAUAAGCUAAAUAUAAGGCCAAGCUAAUGGCCAAAUCUCCUUGCUUUUCAGAUCCUUUCACCUCUUGGUUAUGAAACCAGCAAGAGAUUUUAGGUGUAAAGCAAGACCACCGUACCAUCGUUUGGCCUAAAAGUCUUGUAUUAUCACAUUGUCCUAUACCAGGAGGCAAGAAAUAGACAAAUAGGUGGCUUGUAAGCCUCCUGAGAGAUACCCAACUUUGUGUAAUAAAAAGUAUAUUUAGAAAUUCCUACUUUGCAAAAGAUAAAAUAAGAAAGAACCUUUCCUGUCCUGCCUAUACAACAAAUGGAGAAUAGCUUAGGUUUUAAAUUGUAUUUCCUUUGAUAUGAAUUAGGAUAAUUCUUUGAUUUGAGUUAUUUCAAAAGACAAACCAACUCUUACUUUAGUGAAUUAAACCUGCAAAGGUCACAAAGAAGCUUGUUACUCACAAUAGAUGUUCUUUACUCUCUUCUUACCUGACCAUGUUCCUCACGCAAAAGAGAGGAAUAUGAUUAUCAGUAACUAAUUCAGUGAUAUUGGAUUUGUUUAGUUAUUUAACCGGGAACUUACUAAGUGGACCCGUGCCUGAUUGGAUUUUGCAAAAUGGAGAAAACAUGUAAGUUAUCUUCUAAAGCCAUAGAGUGCCUUCUCUGUUGGUUUUCAUGGGCAUUAAUUAAUCCAUUAUUCAUGUUGUGAUUACACUUGUAGAUUAUUGAUUGCUUAUGGUUCUAGUCAUUUAUUGAUUGACUACAUUCCUUGGCAUUGAAUUUUCUGUGACUCUCUUGAAGUACACUUCAUUAUUCUUUAACGUUAAAUUUUAUCUAUGUAUUUGUUUGAUGCAGAUGUUGGUUCAAUUUUUAUUUUUUAUUUUUCAUUUUCUUCAUGGGCUCUAUUACUUCUUGAACCUUGUGAACUUAGCUUGGAUGAAAAAAGUCCUCAUUUUAAUUUGUGGGAACCCAGCGGUCUGGAAGAUAUGUGAAUAUUUUUCAUUUGUAUUGUAUUGCCUCCACAAGAAUAUGACUUCUAAUAACCAAUCAUCUUGGAAGUUGAUAAUCUGAUCGUACCAUCUUAGACAGGCCUCUAGCAUGGGGUGAAAAGAUUUUCCCUUUUAUUCUCUUUCUCAUAAUUAACUAAAUAAAAUCCAAUAUGGCCACCUAAGUAUUAGAAGCCAAGGAUAGAUCAUAGCCUUUUCUUAGAUUAGAGUGGUGGAUAUAGCAAUUAAGACUUCAAGUGGUUUAUUGCCACUACCCAUGUUACCAAUCAAGUUAUUAGUUAAGCUGAGUGGAAAAUAAUAAGUACCCACAUAGAAGGCUUAGGUAAAAUUGUCACAACUUAGAAUUAUUAUUGUUCCCUUUUCAAUUAUGUCAUCAACUAAAAUGGAUGAAAAAUAGUUCUUAUCUCAUGUUAUAUUCAAGCCUGGGAUGAAUCAUGGUGUGAAUUCUCCAUGCAGUGAUCUUUCCUAGAACAACUUUAGCUCGUUGGGCCCAAGUUGUCAACAAAGGACUGUAAACUUAUUUGAAAGCUCUUCAACGGGUAAUACAUCGUAAGUUGUUAACCUUUUGUAAGCACCUUCAUCAUAAAUUUCUGUUGCUUUCAUAAUCCAUUUGAGCAUUGCUUCAAAUUAUGUUCUUGUUAUAACUCAUAUUAUGAC